UACGAAGGGGGCUAGCGUUGCUCGGAAUCACUGGGCGUAAAGGGUGCGUAGGCGGGUCUUUAAGUCAGGGGUGAAAUCCUGGAGCUCAACUCCAGAACUGCCUUUGAUACUGAGGAUCUUGAGUUCGGGAGAGGUGAGUGGAACUGCGAGUGUAGAGGUGAAAUUCGUAGAUAUUCGCAAGAACACCAGUGGCGAAGGCGGCUCCCUGGCCCGGUACCGACGCUGAGGUGCGAAAGCGUGGGGAGCAAACAGG
rnacentral:rRNA from 1 species